GGCUGCGAUCAUACCAGCACUAAUGCACCGGAUCCCAUCAGAACUCCGCAGUUAAGCGUGCUUGGGCGAGAGUAGUACUAGGAUGGGUGACCCCUUGGGAAGUCCUCGUGUUGCAACCC
rnacentral:rRNA from 1 species